GAUGAACGCUGACAGAAUGCUUAACACAUGCAAGUCAACUUGAACUUCGGUUUGGGUGGCGGACGGGUGAGUAACGCGUAAAGAACUUGCCUCACAGCUAGGGACAACAUUUGGAAACGAAUGCUAAUACCUGAUAUUAUGAUUAUAUGGCAUCGUAUAAUUAUGAAGGCUAUAUGCGCUGUGAGAGAGCUUUGCGUCCCAUUAGCUAGUUGGAGAGGUAACAGCUCACCAAGGCGAUGAUGGGUAGCCGGCCUGAGAGGGUGAUCGGCCACAAGGGGACUGAGACACGGCCCUUACUCCUACCGGAGGCAGCAGUGGGGAAUAUUGGACAAUGGACCGAGAGUCUGAUCCAGCAAUUCUGUGUGCACGAUGAAGUUUUUCGGAAUGUAAAGUGCUUUCAGUUGGGAAGAAAAAAAUGACGGUACCAACAGAAGAAGUGACGGCUAAAUACGUG
rnacentral:rRNA from 1 species